GAUGACAACAGAGGUAUGGACUGUAGGUGUGUGUAAGGAUGACAACAGAGGUAUGGACUGUAGGUGUGAGUAAGGAUGACAACAGAGGUAUGGACUGUAGGUGUGUGUAAGGAUGACAACAGAGGUAUGGACUGUAGGUGUGAGUAAGGAUGACAACAGAGGUAUGGACUGUAGGUGUGUGUAAGGAUGACAACAGAGGUAUGGACUGUAGGUGUGUGUAAGGAUGACAGAGGUAUGGACUGUAGGUGUGAGUAAGGAUGACCACAGAGGUAUGGACUGUAGGUGUGAGUAAGGAUGACUACAGAGGUAUGGACUGUAGGUGUGAGUAAGGAUGACAACAGAGGUAUGGACUGUAGGUGUGAGUAAGGAUGACAACAGAGGUAUGGACUGUAGGUGUGAGUAAGGAUGACAACAGAGGUAUGGACUGUAGGUGUGAGUAAGGAUGACAACAGAGGUAUGGACUGUAGGUGUGUGUAAGGAUGACAACAGAGGUAUGGACUGUAGGUGUGAGUAAGGAUGACAACAGAGGUAUGGACUGUAGGUGUGAGUAAGGAUGACAGAGGUAUGGACUGUAGAUGUGAGUAAGGAUGACAACAGAGGUAUGGACUGUAGAUGACAAAAGGCAGAGAAUUUACAGUAGGAAUGUAUUCCUUCACAUGGUAAUAUGGGGAAAAGGGGCUGGAUGGAAGCAAAGAAAGUAAAUCUCAAAGCCCCAUCUCCUACCUUACCUGCCUACCCACUACUUACCUAAUUUAGCACCACCUGGUGCCCUAACCAAAAUACAGGGGGUGGUCCGCCCAGGUCUUACCUAGUGUGCCUAGACAGUGAAUAUACUAUGGGUAUAUGUAUGCCCGCGGGCCUCUUGCCUAAGCACUCCCUGGGUGCCUUCCCCUUCCCCUCUGGGAACAAAGGAAACAGAAUAUUAAACCAUUUCAAACAAACUAAGAAACAAAAGGACAUAAAAUAAGCUCUCUGAUAAUGCAACAAACUAACAGAGUACAUACCAACUGCCUGUAUCACUCUCAGAAACAACAAACGUAAUAUGACCCUCAGCCUCCUCUCUAAGCCAUGAUCUCUCUCAAUCACAAUCAAUCUUUCUGCAAUCAAUCUUUCUGCAAUCAAUCUUUCU